GCGCUCGUAGCUCAACCAGGAUAGAGCCACCACCGAAGCCUCGGGCAGAUGCAGGUUCGAUCCCUGCCGAGUGCACCA
rnacentral:tRNA from 1 species